rnacentral:rRNA from 1 species
AACGAACGCUGGCGGCAUGCCUAACACAUGCAAGUCGAACGAGACCUUCGGGUCUAGUGGCGCACGGGUGCGUAACGCGUGGGAACCUGCCUUUAGGUUCGGAAUAACUCAGAGAAAUUUGAGCUAAUACCGGAUGAUGUCUUCGGACCAAAGAUUUAUCGCCUUUAGAUGGGCCCGCGUUGGAUUAGCUAGUUGGUGGGGUAAAGGCCUACCAAGGCGACGAUCCAUAGCUGGUCUGAGAGGAUGAUCAGCCACACUGGGACUGAGACACGGCCCAGACUCCUACGGGAAGCAGCAGUGGGGAAUAUUGGACAAUGAGGGAAAGCCUGAUACAGCAAUGCCGCGCGAGUGAUGAAGGCCUUAGGGUUGUAAAGCUCUUUUAGCCGAGAUGAUAAUGACAGUAUCGGGAGAAUAAGCACCGGCUAACUACGUG